GACGAACGCUGGCGGCGUGCUUAACACAUGCAAGUCGAACGGAAAGGCCCUGCUUUUGUGGGGUGCUCGAGUGGCGAACGGGUGAGUAACACGUGAGUAACCUGCCCUUGACUUUGGGAUAACUUCAGGAAACUGGGGCUAAUACCGGAUAGGAGCUCCUGCUGCAUGGUGGGGGUUGGAAAGUUUCGGAGGUUGGGGAUGGACUCGCGGCUUAUCAGCUUGUUGGUGGGGUAGUGGCUUACCAAGGCUUUGACGGGUAGCCGGCCUGAGAGGGUGACCGGCCACAUUGGGACUGAGAUACGGCCCAGACUCCUACGGGAGGCAGCAGUGGGGAAUAUUGCACGAUGGGCGGAAGCCUGGUGCAGCAACGCCGCGUGCGGGAUGACGGCCUUCGGGUUGUAAACCGCUUUCGCCUGUGACGAAGCGUGAGUGACGGUAAUGGGUAAAGAAGCACCGGCUAACUACGUG
rnacentral:rRNA from 1 species